UCCGAUUCCGUGUUCUGGGGUCGAUCCAUCAAUCGUCAUUGGAUCGAACGGUCAGCGUUGAAGCAGAUCUACCAAGUUUAUGUAGACCGUGCGAUCUCCAUCCAAAGUCGGCCGACCUUCCGUCCUGGAGUAAGGGGUGAAGCCCACUAUUUUAAUGGGCCGGGCCCAGUACCAAAGCUCACGAAGUGGGCCAACCUGCCAACCUCUGAAGGUUGUCGGGUCGGUUUGCGGCCCAGCCCAGAAAGACCUCCAGAAAACGCCCAACUAACGGUCUUAAUCAUCAUAAUGGGCAUUUAAACUGUAAUUAAACUAGAAUUAAGGGUGCUGAGAGAGACCCGAGAAGGAGGAGACUCAACCUGGAUCCGAUAAGGAGGAGGAGGAGGAGGAGAGCAAGGACGGUGGCUAGACGACCCAGCAGACGGCGUGGGCGACCUCAACGUAGAUGGAGGCGCUCCUCGCCUGCGCCGCCGCCGCCACGGCGCAGCCCACUGCGCCCAUCACCGCGCAGGCCACCGCCACCGUUCCGG
rnacentral:lncRNA from 1 species